ensembl:lncRNA
GCCGAGGGGACUGAUGGCCGCCGCCGGGCCGAGGCGGACCAGAGCAGGAGCUGCGGGAGCUGCUGCCGCCGCUGCCGCCGCCGCCGCUCUUAUUGCCUCGGCCCCGGCCCGCCGCCCCGAACCAAAGCGCCGCGGCGGGCGGGGGAGGCGGGGGAGGCGGAGGCGACGGCGGCGAGGGGGGUGUGGGAGGAGGAGGAGGAGGGAGGGCUGAGGAGCGGCCGCGGCGGCGGCGAGGGCGGGAGCCGGCGGAGGGAGGCGCCCCCGGGCGCCCGGGAAGGGGGGUCCCUCCGCCCGCGCCCAGCCCGGGCCGGGACGGGCCGCGGAGCCGCCCUCCGCCCCCCCUGCCGAGGGUCCCCGCCGGGCCGGGCCGAGGGGGGAGAGGGGGCGUCUCCGCGCCAGUGACGACCCUCGCGCGACGCCAACGCUCCACCCCCGGGCCGAACGGCCCGCGGCCCCUGAGGCUGCCGCUCCCCCUGCUCCCCGCGGGCGCCGCCGAGGGGCCGGGGUGGGCGGAAGGGGAGGGAGCGAGAGCCGGGACUUAGGAAAUUCUCGAAAAGAGAGAGAGACAGACAGAACCAGAGAGCAGGGAGUGUGGAAAAAGCGAGGCGAGCACGAACCAAAGAACAGAGCAACCGAAAAGGAAGAUGUGUCCACACACAUACACAUGAACACUAAUAAAACUCCACACUACACAGCGACGGUGGCGUCCGGUGGCGGCGGUGGAGGGGCGGGGCGGGGCGGGCGGCCUAGAUGAGCCGCUCCUCGCGCCCGCGGCGCCGGCCGCCAGGGGCCGAGCCGAAGGCGCCGCCGGGCCCGGAGCGCGCGCGGCCCCUGCGUUUGGCGCGGCCGCUCAGGUAGGAGAAGAAGGCGCAGCCCAGGAACACGCGGAAGCAGCAGGAAGUUGAGCACCCAGGAGGGGCUGCGCACCGAGAAGACCAGGAAGACCACGAGCGGCAGGUGGGCGCCGAGCGCGCCAGCCUUGGCCGGCCUGGGCCGCCACACGACGCCCGCCACGCGAGGCGCCGCGUAGUAGGCGUCGUCCUCGUCCGCGGAGUCCGCGUCCCACUCUGCCCAGGUCUCUACUAGCGCCCCCGGCGGCGGCGCCCCUCCUCGGCGCCCGCGUCUUCGGCGGCGGCGGUGGCGCCGGCCUCGGGGCCUCGCGCCUCUUCCUGGGCUUCCGGCAUCUUCUUCAUCUUCUUCCUCAGCAUCUUCUCCAGCUUCUUCAUCUCCUUCUCCCUCUUCUUCUCCUCCUUUCUCCUCUGCUCCAGCAGUUUCUUCUCGAUCUUCUUGCGGUCCUUGUCGGUCGGGAACUUCUCGGGGGCCGCCUCCCGCGCCGGCUUCUUCGGGUUCUUCCCGCUCUUCGGAGCCUUCCCGGGGUCCCCGCUCUUCCUCGGGGCGAGCGGCCGCUCGGCUCCGCCAGAGCUGCAGCCGCCGCGGCAGCUUCGGCGACCACCUCGACCGCCGCCGCCGCCGCCGCCGCCCUCUUCUCGCUCUCCGCGGCCGCGCGGGCUUUGAGCUUCAGGGCCAUCUUCAGCAUGGUGGCCCGGCCGCCUCGGGGAGGCCGGCUCCUCGUGCCUGGUCCGGGCACCCCGCUCGCUCCCAGCCUCGGGCUGUCCGGCCCCGGCGCGCCCCGUGUCAGGUCGGGUCGGGUCGGGUCCCUGGUGUGCCGCUCCAGGGCCGCUGAGCGUGGCUGCCCGGACUUGGGGCUCCUGGGCUAGCUGCCCAAGAGUUAGCGUCAACAAGGAUGACCAAACGGAAAAAGGGCGAAGACAAACCAAAAAGCACCCAACAACAGCGAGAAAUCAGAAUGCACCAAGAAAUGUCAAACUCAAAAAGAAAAGUGCAGAGACGCGAUGGCACGAGUUCGCUGUUACCCUCAGGCGCUCCUUGGUUAGGUCUGGUGCACGCACGCCAAUGAAGAAGAGGAAAAGGAGAAAAAGAGAGAAUGGGGGGUUGCCCCGGAGGCGCUGGCAGGACAGCAGCGCCCGCCCCAGCCCCGGGGGCUCUCGCACGUCCGCGGGCGGCCCCUGCGCUCCCCGACUUACAUGUGAGUGAGGUGCACUCACACGCAAGGCAGCGCCUGCCUGCCGGCCGCCCGCCGCUGCCCCGAGCCCCGAGCCGAGCCGGGACGGGGUUCGCUCCAGCCGCGGUGCCGCAGCCCGGAGCCGGGAGCCGGGAGCGCCGGGCCGGGCCGGGCACCUGACGCAGCACAGCGCUUUCUACCCGCCUGAUGACGCCCC